rnacentral:rRNA from 1 species
GACGAACGCUGGCGGCGUGCUUAACACAUGCAAGUCGAACGGAAAGGCCCUGCUUGCAGGGUACUCGAGUGGCGAACGGGUGAGUAACACGUGGGUGAUCUGCCCUGCACUUCGGGAUAAGCCUGGGAAACUGGGUCUAAUACCGGAUAGGAGCCAUUUUUAGUGUGAUGGUUGGAAAGUUUUUUCGGUGUAGGAUGAGCUCGCGGCCUAUCAGCUUGUUGGUGGGGUAAUGGCCUACCAAGGCGGCGACGGGUAGCCGGCCUGGGAGGGUGGACGGCCACAUUGGGACUGAGAGGCGGCCCAGACUCCUACGGGAGGCAGCAGUGGGGAAUAUUGCACAAUGGGCGCAAGCCUGAUGCAGCGACGCCGCGUGGGGGAUGACGGCCUUCGGGUUGUAGACUCCUUUCGCUAGGGACGAAGCUUUUUGUGACGGUACCUAGAUAAGAAGCACCGGCUAACUACGUG